rnacentral:lncRNA from 1 species
UUUAGGAGAUCUACAUUGCUUUGUCGAUGCCCCAAGAUGUCGCCUAUCCUUUCCUGUUGAUUCAGGCAUAGUAAGAUCACCACAUGCCCCAAUAUGAUCAAAAUUCGAGUUGCUCUGAUCACCUCAUGCCUCAUUUUAAUCAAUAUUUGAGCCGCCCCUUUUAGGUUUUCAACUCAAAUCCCCUUUGGCCUAAGGUGUCC